rnacentral:lncRNA from 1 species
CAUCUAAUGAUUUAACCUUUACAUUCUGAGCUAGGGUUGAUGAUUGGAGGGUAGAUUUGUCUUCUCUCUUAUCUGUCGAUUGAAAUUGACCAUCUGUCAGGUUCCUUCGGAUGGCUCAUUUUGAUUUGGGGAGAUCAUGUUGGUCGCAUCUUUCUUUGGCAAGUUUGUUGAGAAAAAACUUAAGGUGUGACCUAGUCUUCGACUAAUUGUACAAAGGAAGCCUUCCCCUUCACAGAGAACUGCUUUUUAUACCGCCCAAUAAUGACUUCAAAUUUUAGCAGGUUUUCCAUAGGAACCUGAAUGUAGAUUCUAGCAUACCUUUCUCUAAGAGUUGUUGAGGUACAUGCAUUGAUUUUUAGGAGUUUCCCUACCUUUCUACCUACUUUCUCUAGAUUAGAGCCAUCAUAAUAUUCUGUUGGCAACUGAGGCAGACAGAUCCAGAUUGUCGUGGUUUCAAAAGUUGAUUCUUUUGGAAUGAAAUUUAAUUCCCAGAUCCUGACUGAUAGAUACGAACGCGCUAUGAACCAGGGACCCUCUUGCAGUAUUCUUCUUUGGGAUUCUUUGUCGAAGAGCUUCACCGUGUAGAUGUC